UCCCUUUCACCGUCAUCCAUGAGAAGACACAGUGUUCCAUCCAGAGGAUGUAGCAUCAAGGCGUCAUCUUAAAAGCAGAGAAAAGACUCUUACUUGACACCAGAUGCCAGUGCAUUGAUCUUGGACUUCCCAGCCUCUAGAACUGUAAACAGCCCUGGGACAAAGAACAGACUACGGGUAUUGCCUUCUUAAUCAACAAUAAAGUAUUAGUUGGCUUCCAGGCAGACACCACUGACUUUCAAGAGAAAGGCACGGGAGUAAGGAAGUAAAGAAUUCAGGGCAAACGUCGAGCUUUCCUCUGGGCUCCAAUGUAAAAGAAGUGGAUAGCGGCUGACUAGUGUACAUAUUAUGUAUGCAGACUUUGAAGGAAUCCCCCUUGUUUUUAGCUGUUCUUCCAUUGCUCCUGGAGACUCUGAGCUCAGAGAUUUUCUAGGCUCUGAUGGGCAGAGUGGCUCGUUUCCUCCCUGAAGUUUCCUUCAUGCCACAUUCUGGAUUACAACCUCCUCCAAAGAGUGUCAUCUGUCAAUAUAAUGUCAUCUCUUGAUUUCUCUGUUUUCUUUUCUUCACUAUAAUAGGUGACAUCUGAUUGUAUAAAGGAUAUUUAUUUAUUU
rnacentral:lncRNA from 1 species